rnacentral:rRNA from 1 species
AACGAACGCUGGCGGCGUGCUUAACACAUGCAAGUCGAACGCGAAAGCUUCCUUCGGGAAGCGAGUAGAGUGGCGCACGGGUGAGUAACACGUGGAUAAUCUGCCCGACGAUCUGGGAUAACAUUCCGAAAGGAGUGCUAAUACCGGAUAAGCCCACAGGCUCUUCGGAGUUUGCGGGAAAAGGUGGGGACCUUCGGGCCUACCGUCGUCGGAUGAGUCCGCGUCCCAUUAGCUAGUUGGCGGGGUAAUGGCCCACCAAGGCGACGAUGGGUAGCUGGUCUGAGAGGAUGAUCAGCCACACUGGAACUGAGACACGGUCCAGACUCCUACGGGAGGCAGCAGUGGGGAAUUUUGCGCAAUGGGGGAAACCCUGACGCAGCAACGCCGCGUGAGUGAUGAAGGCUUUCGGGUCGUAAAGCUCUGUCAGAGGGGAAGAAACUCCUGUGGUCGAACAGGCCACAGGAUUGACGGUACCCUCAAAGGAAGCACCGGCUAACUCCGUGCCAGCAGCCGCGGUAAUACGGAGGGUGCGAGCGUUGUUCGGAAUUAUUGGGCGUAAAGCGCGUGCAGGCGGCCUGUUAAGUCUGAUGUGAAAGCCCGGGGCUCAACCCCGGAAGUGCAUUGGAUACUGGCAGGCUUGAGUAC